AGAGUUUGAUCAUGGCUCAGAAUGAACGUUGGCGGCGUGGAUUAGGCAUGCAAGUCGAACGGGUCCGGUCUUCGGACCGGGUCAGUGGCGUAAGGGUGAGUAAGGCGACGGUAACCAACCCCGAGAUUGGGUAUAGCCGUGGGAAACCGCGGGUAAUCCCCAGCGACGCGUCGGGCCGGCAUCGGCCUGACGUCAAAGUUUCGGCGUCUUGGGACGGGCUGUCGUGGUAUUAGGUAGUUGGCGGGGUAACGGCCCACCAAGCCUUCGAUGCCUACCGGGCGUGCGAGCGUGGCCCGGCACACUGGGACUGAGACACUGCCCAGACACCUACGGGUGGCUGCAGUCGAGAAUCUUCGGCAAUGGGCGCAAGCCUGACCGAGCGACGCCGCGUGGAGGACGAAGGCCUUCGGGUUGUAAACUCCUGUCGAGGGGGAGGAAGGGGCAACCUUGACCAUCCCUGGAGGAAGCACGGGCUAAGUUCGUGCCAGCAGCCGCGGUAAGAC
rnacentral:rRNA from 1 species